UUUGCACACCUCUUCGAUUUGACCGAUUUCUCUUUGAUUCACCGGAUUUCUCUUCAAUUCCAGUGUUCUUUUUCUUCUUAUGGACGGAGUCGCUCGCCUGUUUUUCUUCUUUGGCCACACAUUUGUGCAUCCUUGUUAUUUCUUCACCAGCAUCCUUGCGGCAACUUCCUUGCUGAUUUGAACUGCUCGACCAUGACAUGAACGCAUCCUCCACACGUUUGACUCGCUGUACAUCGGUCUUUGUCGUUGUCAUGUCUCUCGCGACCUCAUGAUCAAGUACCCAAGACCAAGUGUUUGUUCUUCUGCUUUCUGUUUUCUGGUAUAGCUUCCCAACACUGGAAGAAGGUGAAUUCUACUAGAAAUUGGACAACUUUGUGGGAUUUCAAGGUGUUUCUGAGAGGUGAAUAUUUUGAAGUUUUGUAGCGGAAUGAAGAUAGAUCCUAUCCGAAAUUUAGGACCUUUUCAGUUUAAUAAGAAGAUCAAAGUCCGUGUAUGCAGAAUUUGGAGACCUAAGGUUAUAGGAAAGGAUAAUACGUUUGGUGGUCUUCAAUGUAUAUUGGUUGAUGAAAUGAAAGAUGCAAUUCAAGCAUCUGCAAAAGAAAUAGAUUAUGAGUAUGUUGCUCCAAAAAUUAAAGCUAAUCAUGUUUAUGAGAUCACUCGCUUUUCUACUAGUCGUUGUAAAUCAUCCUACAAAAUUGUCCCCCAUGAUGCGCAAGUGUGCUUCAAUACAAAAACAAAUUUUGAAGAGUUGCCAGGUGUUCAUCCAAACAUUCCCUCACAGCGGUUUUACUUGAUUAUUCCCAACUGUUUUCUCGCAUCAAUCAAGAUGAUAUUCUCACAGAUGUUCUGGGAUGCAUCACUGCAGUAAAGCCUUUGGAGGACAGAAUGAUCAAUAAUUAGACAAUGGAGAAAAUACGUGAAGUGAAGUUGCAAAAUAUCAGGUCAACAAUAUAUGGAGACAUUUGAAUUUCUCAAAAUUGUUGCACAUUUUAUUCAAAAUACUAAUGUUUUUUCUUAAUAUCCGUUCACUUAGGAGAGAAGAUGUUAACCUGACAUUGUGGAGUGACACUGCAAAGACCUUUGAUUUCAAAGCUCUGGAACACUUGACCCCACCAGUUUUGGGUGUUUUUACAAGCCUUAAAGUUAGAUGGUUUAGAGAAAACAUUGUGCUGAACAAUAGUAUUUCCAUAAUGAUUUUCAUCAAUCCAGACAUUCCCGAAGCAACUCCUUACAAAGCAAUCUUUGUUGGUCCGACUCAUUCUGUAAAAAUGUUGCCAACGUCAGCAAGACAACUAAUGGGAUCAGAAUAGUUGGAAAACGCUGAAAAACUGUCUGUUCAGGAUCUGAAUGUUUUGGAUCCAGAUUUGUACAAGAACGCUUCAGUCUUAUGUAGAGCAGCCAUUACACAUUUUGACACUCAUGUUGGAUGGUGGUACAAAGCAUGUCCAUGCUGCUACAAACAAUUGAGAAAAGAUGAAAAUAACGACGUACUAAUUUGUGUAAAGCACAAUGUUCAAACUCCCCUACCUUUGUUCAAAGUAAGUUUAAUACUCGAAGACGCCAGCGAUGAGACCAGUGCUAUCAUCAUUGAUAAACCGGCUGAACGUUUAUUUGGAAUUUCAUGUUAUGAUUUAGUUGUCAAAAAAGGGUUUACUAAUCAACAAGAGCUGCCAUAUGCAAUUCUCCAAUGUCAAGGACAAAUAAAAAAAUUUCAACUUCGAUUUGGGAAUUUGAAAAAUGAUUUCAACAGAAAUGAUCUCUUGGUCCAAGCGAUUUUCGACGACAAAAUACAAGUUGUUCAAUCAAGUUCCAAAGCUUCUUAUGAAUCAUUGGUUGAAUUUGAGGAGGUAGAUACGACAGCUCAGACUUUCAGCUCUGUUGUCACAACAUCGUCUACAGAAAGUUCAAUUCCAAAGGGUCGUUUCAGCUCUAAGAGUAGAAAAAAAACCAAAGAGGGAAACUGAAAUUACCGAAGAAAUAGAUGAACAAAACGCUUCGGACACCGAAGAUUUUCCCAUCAAAUCCCUCAGGAACAAAAUGUCUCCAAACAAAACUGAAAUAGUAUCUACUACUUCCAAAACCUGCAAGAAUAAGUGCAAAGAUGAUUGAAGUUCUCUGAACAAUACAGAACAAAUGGAAGUUUUUUUUUUUUUAUGAGCCCAAGGACAAAGAAGCAACAUGAAAACUAGAACCAUGUGGACAAUUUUUGAAACUGUAUAUAUUUGGGGCUUGCAAGUCCAUCCUGUUAGUCAUUCAGAUCCGUUUUUUUUUAUGUACAUAGAACUUUUAACAUAGAGUUAGUAAAAUAUAGGUGCAAAAUGAACGCUAAACAAAGUGGGAGACUUUUGGAAGUGUAUAUGAAUGUAAAACUUAGAAAUCUCCCCUUUGGAUUGUAAAUAUGCUUUUGAUGUAAAAUAAAUAGAAUGUUCUAUAACUGAAAAACCUAUUUUACCCUGUUUGUUUAGUUGUUCUAUUAAUUUAUAAAAUGUUUAGGAAUGAAUGUGUUGCAAAAUCAAGUGUAACUUUGCCUCAAAUAUGCAUAAAAUUAUUAUUGAUACCUAUGGUAAAUUUUGGAUUAAGCUUUGAUGCUUAUGCACCACCUAUUCUUGCUGAAGACCUACCAUAAGUACGGGUCCACCUAUCCAGCAUAUAAGCACUUCCACUAACCUUAGAUAUAAAUUAAAUAGUCAUCAGUCUCAAAUUCAUAUGAAAAACUCAUCAUACGAAUUGUAUAUUGCUGGUACUUACUUCGGAGGUGAAUCAUAGAAACACUAAAAGCUGUGGUAUCUUAUGGGACACUUUGUUAUUAAAUUGUGAUUACGGAUUCAUAACCCGCAGCGGAGCGCGGGCAAUUUUUCUAGUAAAUUUCUAUGAAUGAGUUGGUAUUCUCUCGGUUGAAACACCAAUUUUUUUUCUUUUUAUACAACUAUCGUACAUGAAACUUGAGUUGGAAAUUUCUUGUAACAAAUGAAGAUCGACUACUUUUGUUUUUAAUGAAAUAAAUCUAAAAGAAAUCUUACUACUACUACCACGACAUGUUAAAUUGACCAAUUAACUUUUAGCAUUUCCCUUUUUAAUUUUCAAAGAAAAUUCCAACUGUCCUCUGCUAUAAAAAACAAUUUCAAAAUAAAAUUGGCACUACUAUCUUUAGUAUCAAUAUAACCAAGAUAUUGGAAGUAUCGGAUCCACGAGAGAACCAUAAUUGAAUAUCAAACUUAUAAUAUAGGAGUGUGAUAUUCACACAUCACAUUUUACUUCUCAAACGUCUUUUUAAUUUUCGACCGUCGGAUCGGAUGAAUUGAAGAAAAUCAUUGUAUAAAAAUUAUCAAGAGAUAUGUGAGAAAUAAAAUUAGGUGUGUGGAUAGCGCAUCUCAUAAUAUAUGGGAGACGAAACUAACACUUCAGAUUUACGAAUGGAAAAUAUCAUAUACUCACCCCAUUCAACUGCCACGUACCCGUCGCCCCACUUCCCACGUCACAAACACUCGUCCUCCACAUGCACUGCUAGGUAACUUUAUCACGCUGCCUCACCACUGAGGGGCCACUCCAACGCCCCCAUUUGGAAUUUGAAAAUGAAAGCCCCUCUCCAAAGAGACGUUAGAAAAUUACAACCUUGUGUGCAUUUUAUUCUAUUUUUUAUUUUCCAAAGAUAAUUUAAUUAUUUUAUUUUUGUCCACAAACAGAAAAGUCCCACUUUCUAUCCCCAUGUAUUGCUUUGAACUAGACGGGGCCUCGCUAAUGCUGCGGAGGGGAGACAGUGAGUUUCUGGACGCUGACUCUGACCUCUCAUAGAAAAAAUAAUGAAAGAUUUUCCCAUUUAAUUGUGUUCCCUCACAUCUCUGCUGAAUCUUUCAUUGCUUCCUUCACUCCACUUCACUUGUUAGAGAGAGAGAGGGAGAAGCUCAGCUGAUUCCUGCCCAUUAGUUCUUGCUAGGUACUUGAAGAGGAUAUGAUGCAAGGGUAAAUUCUAGUUGCAUGUCUUAAGUUGAAGCAGAAAGGUCAGAGUUUGAUUCAGCUUAUUGAAUUUCAUAGGCUAGUUUCUCAGCAUUGAACGUGCUGGUUGAGGUUCACAUUGUCUUGAUUUCGAAAGCUAGAACGCUGGUUGAGUAGUAUCCAUUACCAUAGAAGUAAUCUUACCUGAAUGACAUAGAGAGCAUUUUAGAUCAUAUGAUAUAAGAUUAUCAUCGUUUUGUAA